UCGAGGAUCUUCGGCAAUGGGCGCAAGCCUGACCGAGCGACGCCGCGUGCGGGAUGAAGGCCUUCGGGUUGUAAACCGCCGUCAGAGAGGAGGAAAUAUUAGAGGGUAAUCUCUCUAGUUUGACCUAUUCUCAGAGGAAGGACGGGCUAAGUUCGUGCCAGCAGCCGCGGUAAGACGAACCGUCCAAACGUUAUUCGGAAUUACUGGGCUUAAAGGGUGCGUAGGCGGUCCAGAAAGUUGGGUGUGAAAGCCCUCGGCUCAACCGAGGAAUUGCGCCCAAAACUACUAGACUUGAGGGAGACAGAGGUAAGCGGAACUUAGGGUGGAGCGGUGAAAUGCGUUGAUAUCCUAAGGAACACCAGGAGCGAAAGCGGCUUACUGGGUCUCUUCUGACGCUGAGGCACGAAAGCUAGGGGAGCGAACGGGAUUAGAUACCCCCGUAGUCC
rnacentral:rRNA from 1 species